rnacentral:rRNA from 1 species
AGAGUUUGAUCCUGGCUCAGGAUGAACGCUGGCGGCGUGCUUAAAACAUGCAAGUCGAACGAUCCUUCGGGAUAGUGGCGGACGGGUGAGUAACGCGUGGGAAUCUGCCCUCAGGAGGGGGAUAACGGCUGGAAACGGCCGCUAAUACCCCAUAUGCCGAGAGGUGAAAUGAAUUUCGCCUGAGGAUGAGCCCGCGUCUGAUUAGCUAGUUGGUGGGGUAAAGGCCUACCAAGGCAACGAUCAGUAGCUGGUCUGAGAGGAUGAUCAGCCACACUGGGACUGAGACACGGCCCAGACUCCUACGGGAGGCAGCAGUGGGGAAUUUUCCGCAGUGGGCGAAAGCCUGACGGAGCAACGCCGCGUGAGGGAUGAAGGCCUCUGGGCUGUAAACCUCUUUUCUCAAAGAAGACCUGACGGUACUUGAGGAAUAAGCCACGGCUAAUUCCGUGCCAGCAGCCGCGGUAAUACGGGAGUGGCAAGCGUUAUCCGGAAUUAUUGGGCGUAAAGCGUCCGCAGGCGGCCUUGUAAGUCUGUUGUUAAAGCGUGGAGCUCAACUCCAUUUAAGCAAUGGAAACUACAAGGCUGGAGUGUGGUAGGGGCAGAGGGAAUUCCCGGUGUAGCGGUGAAAUGCGUAGAUAUCGGGAAGAACACCAGUGGCGAAGGCGCUCUGCUGGGCCAUAACUGACGCUCAUGGACGAAAGCCAGGGGAGCGAAAGGGAUUAGAUACCCCUGUAGUCCUGGCCGUAAACGAUGAACACUAGGUGUCGGGGGAAUCGACCCCCUCGGUGUCGUAGCCAACGCGUUAAGUGUUCCGCCUGGGGAGUACGCACGCAAGUGUGAAACUCAAAGGAAUUGACGGGGGCCCGCACAAGCGGUGGAGUAUGUGGUUUAAUUCGAUGCAACGCGAAGAACCUUACCAGGGUUUGACAUCCUGCGAACCCCUGAGAAAUCGGGGGGUGCCUUCGGGAGCGCAGAGACAGGUGGUGCAUGGCUGUCGUCAGCUCGUGUCGUGAGAUGUUGGGUUAAGUCCCGCAACGAGCGCAACCCACGUCUUUAGUUGCCAGCAUUCAGUUGGGCACUCUAGAGAGACCGCCGGUGAUAAACCGGAGGAAGGUGUGGAUGACGUCAAGUCAUCAUGCCCCUUACAUCCUGGGCUACACACGUACUACAAUGCUACGGACAAAGGGCAGCAAGCUCGCGAGAGUUAGCAAAUCCCAUAAACCGUGGCUCAGUUCAGAUCGUAGGCUGCAACUCGCCUACGUGAAGGAGGAAUCGCUAGUAAUCGCAGGUCAGCAUACUGCGGUGAAUACGUUCCCGGGCCUUGUACACACCGCCCGUCACACCAUGGAAGUUGGCCAUGCCCGAAGUCGUUACGC